UUUCAUUAUCUUUUAAACUUUAUUUACAAAAAAAUAAAUGUAAAUGUAAAUAUAUUUAAACAAAUAUAAAUAGCAAGCAAGAAGUAAUACAAGUAGCGGAGUUAUUGAGAGUGCCCAUCAUCAUCACCAUCCAUUAUCGGCAAAACAAUACCCUUUCUUUCUUUCUUCACACUUCUUUUUUAGUGAUUUUAAUUUUAUCAUUUUUAAUAAAACCCACUUUAAUUAUCUAUUCAUAUUCAAUAAUUUCAAACGCCCAAUUCUUCUUGAAGCUCACUUUGUCUCUAGAGAAAUUUAGUUGAGGAUCUUGGAAGAACAUCUCGUCUAUCCUCUUUUUUUCGAGAUUUUCGCCUUAUAUAAGGUUGCCAACAACAUGG